UUUGUACUUCAUUAGGUGCUCUGG
rnacentral:miRNA from 1 species